AAGAGGACCACCUCCCUCUACCCACUCAGUCAAUAAAGAGUAAUUAAAAGCACAAUUUUCAAUAGCCUUCAAUGCACAUUUCAAUUUACAUAGUCUAGAAAGCACAAUUUAAUAGUCUCUUAAAUCUUACCCUUCAAUACAUUAGACAUUUAUGCACAAUUUCUAUAGUCUAGAAACAUCAGUACAUGAGUACAGUUCAUCACAAUUUACACACACACACGGCCUCAUGUAUUGUGUACACCUGUUUGAAUACAAUUUACAAUUCAUGCUUUUUAUUUGUAAACUGGUUUUUUCAAUACAUGACAGUGAACUGAUUUACACACAGACGGCCUCAUGGUUUUUAUUUGUAAAUUGAUUCAAACAGGUGUACCAUCUGAGCGCCUCACAAUUCACACACGGGACACGACCUCACUCCCUGCCUCUCACUUCCCCCCCUCCCCCUCACUCACCCACGCGGCCAUUGAAGCUUGAUUUUCUCCAUUGUAGCUCUCUAGCCAAACUACUUGUCACACUUUGUCUUUAAUUCUUGAAAAGAUCAUAAGAAUGCUCAUUGUGCAAUAAAUAAUAUAAUUUUUAUACGUGUCACUAAGAAUAUGUUUCGACAUUAAACUUUCAUUAGCACACUUCCCAUAAAGUUUCAACUGAAAAUACUACUUUCAUGGCAAAAACAUGAAAGCAAGAGAUAAAUACCGCUUUAUAAGUCUUUUUCCUUUAUAGAUGAUUUUACACAAACACAGACUAAAUUAUUCAGCUCUAGUUAUAUAUUUUCAUCAUUUUACUUAAUAUUGAGAGUGCAUUACUAUUUAAACAUAUAAUCACCAAAUAAAUUGAAAAUAAUUUUUAUUAAAGAAACAUAAAAUAUAAAAUAUGUGCUUUACUAUACUAAAAAAUUAAGCCAAGAGGGGUAGCUCAGUUGUCAACACAGACUGAGUGCGUGUGAAGAGCUAUCGGGUACACAAUACAUUCUGGGGGAGGGAUGAGGAGCCUUAAUUGAUACUAAAUCUCGAAUUAAUUUAUAAUAGACACAUGACUUAAAAACAAACCCGUGCAACGCACGAGUUUAAUUUCUAGUCACUUUGUAUUACUCACCUAAAACUAUUUUGCUACUUAUAUAAGUAACUAAUGAUAAAGAUAAAUAAUUUUUUUUUGAACUAACAUAAAUAAAUUUUUUAAUCUACCAAUGAUAACAAUAAACUACUUGCUUAAAAUAUUAAUUUGUUAAGGCUUAAAAAUGUUUCCAUCCUUAGACAUUGGCUGCGCCUGGACAUACGAAGUGAAGGGUAGAGCUAUUUUAUCAACUUUGAAAUUUUGUAAACAAUUAUCCCUUAGUUCUGUUAUUAUUAAGAGUGAUUUCUCACUUGCGGUAGGAUGUGUUAGGUGUAAGACCAAUAGACCUCUAAAGCUUCUACCUGAGCCAAGGGUGAUUGAUGUGCUCAUUCGAGAGGUUUCUUGUGUUGGGGUUGUACAUGUCUUUAGAGAAUUAAAUGAUUUAGCUGAUCAUUUAGCAAAGGAGGGUUGUAGUAGAGAAUUAAAUGAUUUAGCUUAUCACGCACAAUGUCAUUUGGAUUAAACUCAUUGGCAACAUUAGGCGGUGGUUCUAAUUCAACUUCCGGUUGCACAACAUUCACAUUCUCAAAUCCUUGGUUUAACAACCAAAAACUUCCUCAUCUUCCUAAAUAAACAACAAAGGAAAGCACAAUUAAAAAUUUGAAUCAAAUUAAAAAUGCACUAAAAGCCAACACUAAUAAACAAAUACAAUGAGAUCAAUAAUGCACCCAUGCUUUUAAUAGGGAAGAGGACCACCUCUCUCUACCCACUCACUCAAUAAAGAGUAAUUAAAAGCACAUUUUUCAUUAGCCUUCAAUGCACAUUUCAAUUUACAUAGUCUAGAAAGCACAAUUUAAUAGUCUCUUAAACCUCACCAUUCAAUACAUUAGACAUUUAUGCACAAUUUCCAUAGUCUAGAAACAUCAGUACAUGAGUACAGUUCAUCACAAUUUACACACACACACGGCCUCAUGUAUUGUGUACACCUGUUUGAAUACAAUUUACAAUUCAUGCUUUUUAUUUGUAAACUGGUUUUUUCAAUACAUGACAGUGAACUGAUUUACACACAGACGGCCUCAUGGUUUUUAUUUGUAAAUUGAUUCAAACAGGUGUACCAUCUGAGCGCCUCACAAUUCACACACGGGACACGACCUCACUCCCUGCCUCUCACUUCCCCCCCUCCCCCUCACUCACCCACGCGGCCAUUGAAGCUUGAUUUUCUCCAUUGUAGCUCGAUUUUCGCCCACAAUCACACACAUGACACAUUGACACACCAGCAAAAUCCCAAUUUUUUACAAGCUGAGAAGUGAAAUGGGAGCAAAUCAGAGUCAGAGGACACAGAUUAAGAAAUUUUAC
rnacentral:lncRNA from 1 species